UACGGAGGGGGCUAGCGUUGUUCGGAAUUACUGGGCGUAAAGCGCACGUAGGUGGCUUUGUAAGUUAGAGGUGAAAGCCCGGGGCUCAACUCCGGAAUUGCCUUUAAGACUGCAUCGCUAGAACGUCGGAGAGGUAAGUGGAAUUCCGAGUGUAGAGGUGAAAUGCGUAGAUAUCUGGAGGAACACCGGUGGCGAAGGCGGCCCUCUGGACGGUGACUGACGCUGAGACGCGAAAGCGUGGGGAGCAAACAGG
rnacentral:rRNA from 1 species